rnacentral:rRNA from 1 species
AGUGAACGCUGGCGGCAGGCCUAACACAUGCGAGUCGAACGGCAGCACAAGAGAGCUUGCUCUCUGGGUGGCGAGUGGCGGACGGGUGAGGAAUGCAUCGGAAUCUGCCCAUUUGUGGGGGAUAACCUCGGGAAACCGGGACUAAUACCGCAUACUACCUACGGGUGAAAGCAGGGGAUCUUCGGACCUUGCGCAGAUGGAUGAGCCGAUGCCGGAUUAGCUAGUUGGAGGGGUAAAGGCCCACCAAGGCGACGAUCCGUAGCUGGUCUGAGAGGAUGAUCAGCCACACUGGGACUGAGACACGGCCCAGACUCCUACGGGAGGCAGCAGUGGGGAAUAUUGGACAAUGGGCGCAAGCCUGAUCCAGCCAUGCCGCGUGUGUGAAGAAGGCCUUCGGGUUGUAAAGCACUUUUGUUGGGAAAGAAAAGCAGCCGGUUAAUACCCGGUUGUCAUGACGGUACCCAAAGAAUAAGCACCGGCUAACUUCGUG